AACGGAGAUGACCUUGGCGUCAUCAUCGGUAGCGGUUUUCUUCUCUGCACUCAUUUGUUAGGCAACUAGAGAACUUGUUAGAGUACAGAGUGUGUAUUUGGUUACUGAAAUUGUUUUUGAUGAUGUUGUUGAAGAGUUGGCUUUGUCUGCCAAAGAGAGUGGUGUGAAUUUAGGGCUUUAUCUGUCAAUAUGGAUACGCACAAGGUAUUAAGAAAUUUUUGUUACAGAUGGAGAUUUUGUUGGAGAUGCUGUAGAAGCAGAAACAAUAGAGGGGAAGUGGAGAGGAGAGAGGAUGCAGGAAAUGAUGAAG
rnacentral:misc_RNA from 1 species